rnacentral:rRNA from 1 species
UACGAAGGGGGCUAGCGUUGCUCGGAAUCACUGGGCGUAAAGCGCACGUAGGCGGAUUGUUAAGUCAGGGGUGAAAUCCUGGAGCUCAACUCCAGAACUGCCUUUGAUACUGGCGAUCUUGAGUCCGGGAGAGGUGAGUGGAACUGCGAGUGUAGAGGUGAAAUUCGUAGAUAUUCGCAAGAACACCAGCGGCGAAGGCGGCGCUCUGGGCCGGAACUGACGCUGAGGAGCGAAAGCGUGGGUAGCAAACAGG